UACGUAGGGUGCGAGCGUUAAUCGGAAUUACUGGGCGUAAAGCGUGCGCAGGCGGUUUUGUAAGCCAGAUGUGAAAGCCCCGGGCUCAACCUGGGAACUGCAUUUGGGACUGCAAGGCUGGAGUACGGCAGAGGGAGGUGGAAUUCUCGGUGUAGAGGUGAAAUUCGUAGAUAUCGAGAGGAACACCGGUGGCGAAGGCGGCCAACUGGACGAAUACUGACGCUGAGACUCGAAAGCGUGGGGAGCAAACAGG
rnacentral:rRNA from 1 species